ensembl:lncRNA
UGACAAUUUAACUAUCCGUGCAGGAAAUGCAUAUUUAUUAUAUGUACAGGUUUUUAAACCCCAGGGAGCGUAUACCAAAAUUAUACACAUAGCUUUUACAGCAAAACAAAUUGGUUACUGUUAAUUGUACUAUUAAUUGCACAAAGUUAAUAAGGUCACUUUUUUACUUCAUUUGGCAUAUGCACUUAAGUUGCAAAAGAUCAAGAGUACUCCAGCAUGCAGUGCUUGACAGAUAUAGCUUUAGAAGAAUUACGGAACCUCAGGUGUUGGAAAGGACCUCUGGAGAUCAUCCAGUCUAACCCCCUGCUUCAGCAGGUUCCCUACAGCAGAUCACACAGCUAGGCAUCCAGGACAAAAUUAUCUAAAACAGUGUGUCCUUGAGGACAGAACUGCUGAGGGCUCUCUAUGGAAAUCUAUGAACAAAGUGAACACUGAUUUUGGAGGAAGAGAGGCAAAAAGCAAGAAAAGACCAUGGAUUAGAGAAGUAAAGAUUGAAAGGGCAAGGAGGAAAUGAAAGGCCUCAGCUCAAUUCUCUUCCUUUCAGGGCUAUGUUGGUCACAGUCAGAUGCAUGUUAUACACAGCCUGGCUUCUCCAUACUGAAUUCCCAAGAUUGUGAGAUAACUGUGGGAUAAACAUACUGCAAGAAUUCUGCUGUUCAUAAAUGGCUACAUAACUUACUGACCAAUUCUGAUGGACUCACUACCUUAAAACUGC